rnacentral:lncRNA from 1 species
AACGCCCAAAAUUGGAGUAGCUAUGGUGAGGAAGUAAAUAGAGAUGAGUUUGGGUCUAGAAAACUAAGUAAUUAUGAAAUGAAAGCAGACCCAGAACUCAAAAAUGUCAUGUCCAAUCUGGUGACUGGAAUGAACAACUUAAGCAAAAAGUUUGAUGCUUUCACUGUUUCCACUAGCUCAAGUUCAUAUAAAGAGUUAAAUCCCAUCAUGAAAGUGGAUCAUGAGUUACAAAGUUUAUGUAUCUUGUGUAACAGUUCUGAGCAUCUAGUGGAGAGUUGUCCUAGUUUACCCACCAUUAAGGCCGAGCAAGCAAAUGUUCUAAAUUCAUAUAGUGCCUUCAAAAAGCCCACUCCCAAUUCAUUCAGUCCAGUCUACCACCCUGAUAAUAGGUUCCAUCCAAAUUUCUCAUACAAGCAAAAUGAACCUAUUCAGCAUCA